AGUUAAACAGUACGUGAAAUUGUUGAAAGGGAAACGAUUGAAGUCAGUCAUACCAACGGGAAAUCAACCUUUUGAGCUCGGUCUCGUGGGUUUUGAAGAGUUUCAAAGCCUUCGGAUUCGCGGGAUUGGGAUCUCUUGGCGUACUUUUUCGUACGGUUAGUCAACAUCGGUUUUGAAUGUCAUAAAAUGACUGGAGGAAUGUAGCUUCGAUCUCGUAUUGAAGUGUUAUAGCCUUUGGUAGAUGUGAUGUUUGAGACCGAGGAUUGCAACGGAUACCCUUCAGGGCUAUUCGUCUGAUCUCUGAUACGUUGCCUUGAUGUUGAAAGCUUGCUUAUGAUGUUAGGGUAUUACGGUCAAAAGGUUAGAACGAAUUACAUUCGUUAAGGAUGUUGACGUAAUGACUUUAAA
rnacentral:misc_RNA from 1 species